CUUGCACUGAUUUAUUCUCUCUCUUCUCCAAGUUUUUUGGAAGUUCCUCUCCAGCUCCGACUCCCUCCUUUCAGCGCCCGGGUCCUGCCAAAGGAGACAAGCUCCACCUACCGGUUAGCGGGGAUCGCACAGAGCGAAGACACGGAGAAGCGGAGAGAAGACGGUCUGAAUCCACGCCACGGUGCCUGGACGUUUACCCACAGCUGGCAAGGCUGGAAAUCUACCUACGACAACCACACGAUUUACAAUAAAGAGUUGAGGGUUUUUUCUUCUUGACUGAAAA